GAUGAACGCUGGCGGCGUGCCUAAUACAUGCAAGUCGAGCGAACAGACGAGGAGCUUGCUCCUCUGACGUUAGCGGCGGACGGGUGAGUAACACGUGGAUAACCUACCUAUAAGACUGGGAUAACUUCGGGAAACCGGAGCUAAUACCGGAUAAUAUAUUGAACCGCAUGGUUCAAUAGUGAAAGACGGUUUUGCUGUCACUUAUAGAUGGAUCCGCGCCGCAUUAGCUAGUUGGUAAGGUAACGGCUUACCAAGGCAACGAUGCGUAGCCGACCUGAGAGGGUGAUCGGCCACACUGGAACUGAGACACGGUCCAGACUCCUACGGGAGGCAGAAGAAGGGAAUCUUCCGCAAUGGGCGAAAGCCUGACGGAGCAACGCGGCGUGAGUGAUGAAGGUCUUCGGAUCGUAAACCUCUGUUAUUAGGGAAGAACAAAUGUGUAAGUAACAAUGCAGGUCUUGACGGUACCUAAUCAGAAAGCCACGGCUAACUACGG
rnacentral:rRNA from 1 species